rnacentral:rRNA from 1 species
CUACGUGCCAGCAGCCGCGGUAAUACGGAAGGUCCAGGCGUUAUCCGGAUUUAUUGGGUUUAAAGGGAGUGUAGGCGGUCCGUUAAGCGUGUUGUGAAAUUUAGGUGCUCAACAUCUACCUUGCAGCGCGAACUGGCGGACAUGAGUGCACGCAACGUAUGCGGAAUUCAUGGUGUAGCGGUGAUAUGCUUAGAUAUCAUGACGAACUCCGAUUGCGAAGGCAGCGUACGGGAGUGUUACUGACGCUUAAGCUCGAAGGUGCGGGUAUCGAACAGGAUUAGAUACCCUGGUAGUCCGCACGGUAAACGAUGGAUGCCCGCUGUUAGCGCCUGGCGUUAGCGGCUAAGCGAAAGCAUUAAGCAUCCCACCUGGGGAGUACGCCGGCAACGGUGAAACUCAAAGGAAUUGACGGGGGCCCGCACAAGCGGAGGAACAUGUGGUUUAAUUCGAUGAUACGCGAGGAACCUUACCCGGGCUUGAAUUGCAGACGCAGGAUACAGAGAUGU